UCCUUCAAACCUCUUUCUCUUGUCCUCCAUUACAUCAAAAUAAAAAUAAAAAUAAUUAAACUCUAAUACUUCUUACCUCAAUCUUUGACAUUGGGUUCACUACUUACAUCAUAUUAUGUGGUCUUGCUUGAACAUGCACUGAGAAUUUGGCUAUAGAAGAUAGAAGAGAAAUUACAACAAUAAGAUCUUAACAACUCUAAUAGAAUCCUAAAUAAACUCUAAUUAAAUCUUAAUAAUGCUAAUCCAAUUUUAAUCAAAUCCAAAAGAAAUCUUUAAA
rnacentral:lncRNA from 1 species